AGAGGCAAGAGACCUGAGAAACCAAUUCAGCUCGGAAGGAUCGACAACGCAGAUGAGGAAAUGACAGGAAAUUUGCCACCUGGAGAUAAUGGUACACUAUACGAAGUACUAAAUUCAGAAGAAAUGUUUCCACCCUCUGUUUACGAAACAAUCGGUCACUCAUCCAAUGACGAAACAACAAAUCAACAUGAAAGAACAAAGAAAAACAGCCCGAACAGCAACGACUACUUAGAACCAAUCGAAUGGCUUGAUGAGGAAGAGUACAACGGGCAAAACGUUUGAUUGUGUCAUUGUAGACACGUGAUUGAACGUGACACAGCAUCAGCAGGACAUGGAGAAUGUUUUAAAGCGUUGCCCCUGUUGGCUUGGCAAGUAAUUUGUGUUGGGACAAACUGACUCAAUCUUAAGGAUAUGGAUAAACUUGU